CCACAACCUCCCUAGGCAAUUUAUUCCAGUGUUUAACUACCCUGACAGUCGUGAACUUUUUCCUAAUGUCCAACCUAAUCUCCCUUGCUGCAGUUUA